UCUCAUGGAUCAGCAAAGACAGUGGUUUCUUGAGAUAGGAUCUACUCCUGGUGAAGAUGCUAUGAC
rnacentral:pre_miRNA from 1 species